GACGAACGCUGGCGGCGUGCUUAACACAUGCAAGUCGAACGGAAAGGCCCUGCUUUUGUGGGGUGCUCGAGUGGCGAACGGGUGAGUAACACGUGAGUAACCUUCCCUUGACUUUGGGAUAACUUCAGGAAACUGGGGCUAAUACCGGAUAGGAGCUCCUGCUGCAUGGUGGGGGUUGGAAAGUUUCGGCGGUUGGGGAUGGACUCGCGGCUUAUCAGCUUGUUGGUGGGGUAGUGGCUUACCAAGGCUUUGACGGGUAGCCGGCCUGAGAGGGUGACCGGCCACAUUGGGACUGAGAUACGGCCCAGACUCCAACGGGAGGCAGCAGUGGAGAAUAUUGCACAAUGGGCGGAAGCCUGAUGCGGCAACGCCGCGUGCGGGAUGAAGGCCUUCGGGUUGUAAACCGCUUUAGCCUGUGACGAAGCGUGAGUGACGGUAAUGGGUAAAGAAGCACCGGCUAACUACGUG
rnacentral:rRNA from 1 species